CACGCAGGCGGUCUGUUAAGUCAGAUGUGAAAUCCCCGGGCUUAACCUGGGAACUGCAUUUGAAACUAUGUAGCUAGAGUUCUGUAGAGGGGGGUAGAAUUCCAGGUGUAGCGGUGAAAUGCGUAGAGAUCUGGAGGAAUACCGAUUGCGAAGGCAGCCCCCUGGACAGUGACUGACGCUCAUAUGCGAAAGCGUGGGGAUCAAACAGGAUUAGAUACCCCCGUA
rnacentral:rRNA from 1 species